GAGAAUAAAACGCACGUCUUGUACUAGGCAUAACCUUUUGACACAUUGUAUAUACAAAAGGAUAUAAUAUAUUUUUCUAAUAAGAGUGGGAAGGAAUGAAGGAGGAAAAAAAUAAUAAUAUAAAUAGGUAAUAUUAUACCGCUCGAUCACACUGAAGCACAUGCUAAACGAUGUUUUAAUUAUAAGAUAUACCUAUAUAGGUACAUUCUGGUGUUAUUGUUUUUUCUGUACUCUUAAGUCUCAAUAAGUGGAUACCGGUCGUAUGAAAACGGGCAAAAUGACAUUGAAAUAACAUCAUUCGUUUGUCACGGUUGUAUACUGUAAAGUCUUAAUUUUAAGCCAAACGUGCUCCAAACCAAAAAAAAACAAAUUAUUAUACGCUCGAGCAGGUGGUAGUUGUUGUGGGUCACCAAUUAAAACAAACAUCUUGGAUGAAUGAAGAGCGGCUAUAACUGAUGACUGCACUACUUGGGUAGCUUCAUCUACAA